AUUGAACGCUGGCGGCAGGCCUAACACACGCAAGUCGAGCGGAUGAAGGGAGCUUGCUCCUGGAUUCAGCGGCGGACGGGUGAGUAAUGCCUAGGAAUCUGCCUGGUAGUGGGGGAUAACGUCCGGAAACGGGCGCUAAUACCGCAUACGUCCUGAGGGAGAAAGUGGGGGAUCUUCGGACCUCACGCUAUCAGAUGAGCCUAGGUCGGAUUAGCUAGUUGGUGGGGUAAAGGCCUACCAAGGCGACGAUCCGUAACUGGUCUGAGAGGAUGAUCAGUCACACUGGAACUGAAACGCGGUCCAGACUCCUACGGGAGGCAGCAGUGGGGAAUAUUGGACAGUGGGCGAAAGCCUGAUCCAGCCAUGCCGCGUGUGUGAAGAAGGUCUUCGGAUUGUAAAGCACUUUAAGUUGGGAGGAAGGGCAGUAAGUUAAUACCUUGCUGUUUUGACGUUACCAACAGAAUAAGCACCGGCUAACUUCGUG
rnacentral:rRNA from 1 species